UAAGCCUGCAUGUCUACGCAUAAAUGAAUCUAUUGUGAAGCCGCGAAUAGCUCAUUACAACAGCCAUAGUUUACUGGAUGUAUUCCUUACAUGGAUAACUGUGGUAAUUCUACAGCUAAUACACGCAUCAAAACCCCGACUAACGAAGGGGAGCGUUUGUUACUUCAAACCAAUUUGUCUAGCUUCAAGUCAUUGGUGAAACAGAACAAUCCAGCUGAUCGCACGGUCUAUGAACCGGCGACAUAUCCUUCAAAUGUCUGCCUUAUCAACUGUCGAUGGUAGAUUACGCGCCUACCAUGGUUGUUACGGGUAACGGGGAAUCAGGGUUUGAUUCCGGAGAGGGAGCCUGAGAAACGGCUACCACAUCCAAGGAAGGCAGCAGGCACGCAAAUUACCCACUCCCGGCACGGGGAGGUAGUGACGAAAUAUAACAAGCUGGUCUCUAUGAGUUCCGGCAUUGUAAUGGGAACACUUUAAAUCCUUUAUCGAGGAUCUAUUGGAGGGCAAGUCUGGU
rnacentral:rRNA from 1 species